AUUUGAUGACAUAAUUAUUGAUCCCUCAUUGACAGCACCUGUUUUGCUACCCUCACCUGGUUUGCUGUGGGUUACGUGCCCCUGGGCCAGGCCAGUGUCUGAAUCAUCCUCUCCCUGACAUCUGGAUGAUGUCUCCAGGGCACAGCAGCGCAUGACAUUCCUCCCUGCUUCCUGGAAGCCGUGUCAUCGGACCUCACUGGAGCAGGUGGCAUCCAGCCGGGAGACAAGGCUUUUCAGAAGGCACCUGCACCCAGGUAACCUGAGCUGGAACUCCACUCAAUGACACAGCUGGCAACAGCAGAGAGCCUCCUGGGGUCACACUGCAUUAUCCAGGGGGGCAGCAGUGUGAGUAGUCACACCUGCCCCUGACUCCCAACGUGACUGCAACUUCAGCCCUCAGGUCCCUGCAGGAAGAUGCCUUCCCUACCUUCAGAAGCCAGCAACCCUGCACAGAUAGUCCUGGCCUACAGGUCUCCUUUCUGUUGCCCUGUCUCUUCACACCCAUCGCCUGAGGAACCCUCGGAGUAAAUUGGGCUCAGGCUGGGGGUUUAAGGCAGCACUUGGAACAAUCAUCUUUCCAGGCACCUAAUGCUUUUCUGUUUUUUAGUGGAGAGAGAGCUCUCUUAAUUCUGCAGCAAUCCAUCAGCCUUGGAUAUAUGUAUUGUUACAUCCCCCCACAGUGACCUCUGGUCUGAAUUUCUGCCAGACUAAAUAUCGGGC
rnacentral:lncRNA from 1 species